rnacentral:misc_RNA from 1 species
AAUCGUGAAAACCACCCCUAUUCUGUUAAAUCAACAGAUACACCAAUCCUAUGUUUAAGUACAGUGGAAUUUUGAAGCUAUCAUUGGCGAAAAAGCUCAGUAGAACUUUUAAUGUGAAGGCAGACAUAGACAAGCUUCAGCUUCGUAGAGAAAAGUGAAAAGAGGUUUACGAGUUGUAAAAGCGGCAAUGGCGACACUUCAGGGGUUGUCGCUACGUUUACGACGCCACAUGUGUAAAAAAAUGUAAUCCAAGAAUUACUACAAUCUAAUCAAUUAAGCCGGUGUGGAAAGGCGAAACAGAUAAGGUGGAAUGGAAACGAUUGAAAAGGGACAAUGUUACAUCACGAAAUGGAGCAUUUGAUGAUAAGGCCGACCGACGAAUGAUAGUAAUCGGUGGGCCAGAAAAACAAGAGUACUUCCUCAAGUGAUGAGCGAGACUCGGCAUCACCUUCGUUCCGUUUCGGAUUUGUAUGCAGCCGAUGAAAUAGAGUCAUUACUUCUAGAAGAGAUUAAAGAUUUAGAACCACCACCUUCAGCUUAUUCACGACCUGAGGAUAUACAAGACUUCGAAAUUGCAGGAAGUAGAACAGGGGGAGCAAUUAGCUCCCAAUCUUCAGAGUUGGACUCACCUGGAGUCCAUUCAACGGUCCAUUCGUGGGAUUCACAUGCCAAUUACCAUGGACCUUAUGGACAUGGAGAUCACAGACAUGGCUCUUCCUCCAAUGCACUGCCAUGGCCUCGUUCCAACCACUUGGUUCUUUAUUGUGACAUACAGGGUCAUAUUAAAACGACGACGGGUAUCUUCAGACUUUUAUUACUCAUAACAUCCGUAGCAUGCUUGGCUACACUUUGCAGUGCUGGUACUGCUAAUGUUAGUCUCUUUAUGUUACCCCUGGUUGGAAGAUUGAGAUUUAUCAUUUUCGUAGCUGUUUUUUGUUUACUUGUCACAACUCUUUUCCUCUUCCUAGAUAUCUCCCACAUUGUUUAUAUGUUUCCUCUCAAUUGGGAUAAAUUUAAUUUUUGGAUAUUUACCAGUAUUGGAGUAUCAUACGUUAUAGGAUGUAGUUUACUCGGCUUAUCAAUAUGGGAAUAUCAUUUAAGUGGCUGGGUUCCACGACGUACACGUUCUCAACUUACUGCUGCAGCUGGUCUUGCUUUUUCUUGUGCAUUUAUUGCUUUUAUCCUUUCGUGGAUUCAUGGUCGUACUGGAAUUAGUUGUGAACCCCCACCUUCUCACGAUAACUCCCAAAGUCAACUUUAUAAACCAGUUGAAUCUUCUUCGUCAGGUUUGACGUUAAAAGAUAAAUAUCCUAAACAACCACCCCCUUGGGUUGUAAAAAAUCAAAGGUCAAAGAAAAAUACUGACAAUGAAUCAAAUGGAAAUGGAAAUUAUGAUAAAUAUAAAUCUGGUCAAAGGAAAGAUCAUUGGGCAUCAGCAAGACAACAUUUUCUAUCAUCACAAGAUGAUGAAGAAAUUCAAACAAUUCAAAGAGAAGAAAGUGAUCUUGAACGUAAGCGAAGAAGAAGAAGACAUGAUGGUGACAGCGCUUCUAGUGGUAAUGGUGGUUUAAGUCGUAAAAGUGAAGGUAUUGAAUCUAAACCAAGAAAAGUACCACAAAAAUUACCUCUCCAGACAAUUGAAAGGCCACAGCCGCGGAAAUGUAAUGUAUCAAAACAAUCAAGCACUGGAAAAGUUCUUAGAGCAACUACCAGCAAUGAUCUACAAAACUAUGUUGCUGCAGUGAAAGCAUGGGAACUCGAAACUGGGAAUAAUAUGAAAGAUAGCGAAGCUAUAAAAAAAUCACUUAUCGAAACUUCAAUGUGGUCAGAAUCGUGGCGACAACCAUCUGAUGAUGUUCAACCUUGCUCUAGUAAAACAGCUGAUUCAUAUACAUUUGCUUAAUCAUUUUGAAUAGAACGCUGAAACCAUCUAACUCGAACGUUUUCGACAUCAUGUACAAAAUUAUUCUCGCCUUGUAAAUUAAGCUGCCAUCAACAUAUUUUGCCCAAACAUUCGCUUAGUCUAUAAAUUAUUUUCAUGGACGACAGAUAAUUAUUACGAUAGCAUGUAUACUUAAUAAAAUGAAUCAUACGAAUAUGUUUGGUGAGAAGGAUUAAUCUUCUUUAUAGGAGGUGAUUAUUAUAAUGCACAGUAGAAAAAUUAAAAACGAGAACGGAACAUGAAAAUUAAAGCAGUAACUAUUAAUUGAUAAUAAAUGUAUUUUUAUGCCAACACAAUUUAAAUCAUACAUAAUUGGUAAUUUUUUGAUGUCAACAAUCUGCAGUUUUAUGAUAAUCUCCAAGUGUUAGACAAAUAUAAAGGAUUUUGGA